UACAUGGGGUGCAAACGUUGCUCGGAAUUAUUGGGCGUAAAGCGCGCGUAGGCGGUUACUUAAGUCGGAUGUGAAAGCCCUCGGCUUAACUGAGGAAGUGCACCCGAAACUGAGUAGCUAGAGUACGAAAGAGGGUCGCGGAAUUCCCGGUGUAGAGGUGAAAUUCGUAGAUAUCGGGAGGAACACCAGUGGCGAAGGCGGCGAUCUGGGAAGAUACUGACGCUGAGGUGCGAAAGCGUGGGGAGCGAACAGG
rnacentral:rRNA from 1 species